rnacentral:rRNA from 1 species
AUUGAACGCUGGCGGCAUGCCUUACACAUGCAAGUCGAACGGUAACAGGUCUUCGGAUGCUGACGAGUGGCGAACGGGUGAGUAAUACAUCGGAACGUGCCCGAUCGUGGGGGAUAACGAAGCGAAAGCUUUGCUAAUACCGCAUACGAUCUACAGAUGAAAGCAGGGGACCGCAAGGCCUUGCGCGAACGGAGCGGCCGAUGGCAGAUUAGGUAGUUGGUGGGAUAAAAGCUUACCAAGCCGACGAUCUGUAGCUGGUCUGAGAGGACGACCAGCCACCCUGGGACUGAGACACGGCCCAGACUCCUACGGGAGGCAGCAGUGGGGAAUUUUGGACAAUGGGCGAAAGCCUGAUCCAGCCAUGCCGCGUGCAGGAUGAAGGCCUUCGGGUUGUAAACUGCUUUUGUACGGAACGAAAAGACUCUGGUUAAUACCUGGGGUCCAUGACGGUACCGUAAGAAUAAGCACCGGCUAACUACGUGCCAGCCGCCGCGGUAA